UUACUUCGGCAGCACAUAUACUAAAAUUGAAAUGACACAGGAAGAUUAGCAUGGUCCCUGUGCAAGGACGACAUGCAGAUAUGUGAAGUAUUUGAUAUUUUU
ensembl:snRNA U6 U6 spliceosomal RNA